rnacentral:rRNA from 1 species
GAUGAACGCUAGCGGCAGGCCUAAUACAUGCAAGUCGUACGGCAACACAGUUGCGAGCAAUCGCAACCGGUGGCGAGUGGCGCACGGGUGAGUAACGCGUAUGUAACCUACCCUUCUCCGGGACAUAACUCCGCGAAAAGCGGUGCUAAUAUCCCAUACCAACUCAUCAAGACAUCUUCUUGAGUUGAAAGCAGCAAUGCGGUGAAGGAUGGGCAUGCGUCCCAUUAGCUGGUUGGUGAGGUAAUGGCCCACCAAGGCUACGAUGGGUAGGGGUUCUGAGAGGAAAGCCCCCCACACUGGUACUGAGACACGGACCAGACUCCUACGGGGAGGCAGCAGUAAGGAAUAUUGGGCAAUGGUCGAAAGACUGACCCAGCCAUGCCGCGUGCAGGAUGAAGGCCCUAUGGGUUGUAAACUGCUUUUAGCCGGGAAUAAACACCCGUUUUAUAACGGGCCCGAAGGUACCGGCUGAAUAAGCAUCGGCUAACUCCGUG